UACGGAGGGUGCGAGCGUUGUCCGGAAUCAUUGGGCGUAAAGGGCGCGUAGGUGGCCCGGUCAGUUCGUGGUGAAAGCGCGGGGCUCAACCCCGCGUCGGCCAUGGAUACUGCUGGGCUUGAGCACUGUAGAGGCAGGCGGAAUUCCGGGUGUAGCGGUGGAAUGCGUAGAGAUCCGGAAGAACACCGGUGGCGAAGGCGGCCUGCUGGGCAGUAGCUGACGCUGAGACGCGAAAGCGUGGGGA
rnacentral:rRNA from 1 species